rnacentral:rRNA from 1 species
GACGAAGGGGGCUAGCGUUGUUCAGAAUUACUGGGCGUAAAGCGAGUGUAGGUGGUUGUCCAAGUUGGAUGUGAAAGCCUUGAGCUCAACUCAAGAAAUGCAUUCAGGACUGGGCGGCUAGAGGACCGGAGAGGAUAGUGGAAUUCCCAGUGUAGUGGUGAAAUACGUAGAGAUUGGGAAGAACACCAGUGGCGAAGGCGGCUAUCUGGACGGUUUCUGACACUAAGACUCGAAAGCGUGGGGAGCAAACAGG